AGAGGGUGCGAGCGUUAAUCGGAAUUACUGGGCGUAAAGCGCACGUAGGCGGCUUGGUAUGUCGGGUGUGAAAUCCCCGGGCUCAACCUGGGAACUGCAUCCGAAACUGCCUUGCUCGAGUAUGGGAGAGGGAAGUGGAAUUUCCGGUGUAGCGGUGAAAUGCGUAGAUAUCGGAAGGAACAUCAGUGGCGAAGGCGACUUCCUGGACCAAUACUGACGCUCAGGUGCGAAAGCGUGGGGAGCAAACAGGAUUAGAUACCCUGGUAGUCCACGCCCUAAACGAUGAGAACUGGAUGUCGGGAGGGUCUGCCUUCCGGUGUCGUAGCUAACGCGUUAAGUUCUCCGCCUGGGAAGUACGGCCGCAAGGUUGAA
rnacentral:rRNA from 1 species